rnacentral:lncRNA from 1 species
AAAAAAAAUGCGUUAUCUAUAAUUGAUAUAUUAAGUACAUGACUAACAUUAUUAUAUCGUCCAUGAUGUUCCAAUCCGAGUUUUUAUGCAUACAAUACCAAUACAUAGCCGGGUGCUGUUCCAAGUAGUUUUCUUUUUCUGUUUCUUGAGAAGUAUUUGUUUUACCUGUUCAGUCACUAUAAAGUGUUACAAUUCAUAUUUAAACGCAACACAUAAAUAGUGACCAAAAAGGUACCGCUAUCGCAUGAGAGAAGCUAGAAAAUAAUGGUCAAUUUAAAGACAGAUAUUCAUAGAACAAAGAACAAAAAAGUGAACUUAUUCAUUUGCGGAUCUACAUGUAGGAUAAAUUUUAAAAAGGGGGGUAACCGGGGUCACCAAACUAUACAUGUAUAAAGGUCUGCUUUGACCUGAAUUGUAGCCUUUAUAAGCUAAGAGGUGACUGACACGGGUCGCCUUCCCCUAAAUUCACAUAAGAAAUUAAAGGUAACCACAGCUACAGGGACUGUAAACUCCAAUUUUCUUAUUUCUGGUCCGUGUUGAAAAUAGAUGAACAAGACUUUGACAAAAGCAAGAAUUAUAUUAAGCUAAAAGUUUAGUGACGUCUAUUAAAAUGUUUGAAAUAAUUAUGAAGUAG